GUAGUCUCGCACAGAUGCAUAUCAAUAAGCGGAGGAAAAGAAACUAACAAGGAUUCCCCUAGUAACGGCGGGUGAAGCGGGAAGAGCUCAAAUUUGAAAUCUUAAAGGGUUUCCCUUUACGAAUUGUAGUUUAAAGAAGUGUUUUCUGUUGAGGUUUUGGGGUAAAAGUUCUUUGGAAUAGGACAUCAUAGAGGGUGAGAAUCCCGUAUUUGACCUUUACUUUCAACUUUGUGAUACACUUUCAAAGAGUCGGAUUGUUUGGGAAUGCAGUCCAAAAUGGGUGGUAAAUUUCAUCUAAAGCUAAAUAUUGGCGAGAGACCGAUAGCGAACAAGUACCGUCAGGGAAAGAUGAAAAGAACUUUGAAAAGAGAGUUAAACAGUACGUGAAAUUGUCAAAAGGGAAGCGUUUGACACCAGUGUUGUUUUUCUGAAAAUCAAUUAAAGAACUGUUUAUGCUAAGUUGUUUAGACUUUAUCAGCUAUCUGUUUAGUUUUGAGCUUUUCUUUAAAUGCACUUUUCAGUUAACAAGUCAACAUCAAUUUCUUUUGCUGUAAAAAAGCUUGAGGAAGGUGGCUUGAGAUUCGUCUUAAGUGUUUAUAGCCUCUUGCCUAUGCAGUCGGAGAGAUUGAGGUCUGCAGCGUAGAUCCUUCGGGGCUAAAUGCAUUUGUGCUAAGUUAUAGCAUUUCAUAGACAACUUGUUGACUAUGAUUUGUCUUGUAGCUUACUCGCUUAUGUUAUUUUACCUACGCUUAGGAUGUUGACAGCAGUAUAGACUGU
rnacentral:rRNA from 1 species